UGUGACUAUUAACCAAUAUCAGAAAACACUGCAUAGCAAAUAUGUUGUUACAUUAUUGACAUAUCAACUGCAAACAUUAGGAACUGCUUCAAGUCAAUAUUUGGUUAUUCUGGUUAUUUUACACCAACUACGCACACAUUUCCUAUGAUGUAUGCCUAUGAAAGACGAUCGAACCAAUCAGAGUAGGUAUGGGGCGGGGCGACAGGCUGCAGCCGGGUGCUGCUCGAAUUAGGAAGUCAGAAAUUGAGUCGUGCUUUCACCUUUCAACAUGACAAGUAACGUUAAAGUAGCUUUUCUCGUUGUGGCCAUGCUGUUAUACAUCGUACUGUCAGCAGAAGCCUCGGAUGUCCUGCGAUGCACAGGGGAGAGACAGCGUGAUGGCCAGUUCUACUUCAACAUGACGUAUGACCUUAAAGAGGGUGUUCAUGACUGCGAGACCCAAUGGGUCAUCAAUGGAAUUGUGGCGGGAUUUUCUGAUGCUGAUGGACAUACGAAGUGCAUGCUCCCACUUGUAAAUGCAACCGCAAACACAGCCAUCUUACACACCUGCCAUGAAAAACUGGAAUGUCUGCUCAUCUGCCCCUCCGCCAGUAUCAACAAAAAGGAACCGUGCUCUUGUGAUAUCACUUCUCCAACUACACUUCCUGAAGUGGGUUUGUCUGACUGGAGUGUUGGUGUUUGGAUUGGAGUGAGUGUGUUUGGGAUAAUGUUGGUGUCUUUGAUUGUCACCAUGCUUUAUAAGAAAAAAAAAAGGUCAGAAUAUGCUCUUAGUGGCCCAGGUCCUGCUGAAGAUGUCUGAUUCUGAAGGAGUUUCAUCAUUGCACCUGGGCGUUCUUCGGUCUUCAGACAUUCAUUAGGAAAUGCCUUCUUUUUCUUUUCUUAACCAUGUCUUAAACAUUGGAAUGAAAUAAAUAGGUAAAGGUAUUUAAGUGAAUAAAUGUACACAUAUAUAAGUGCCUACAUAAAUCACGAUAAGAAACGAUAGCCUUUAUUUUCAGUCCUGAAGGUGGACUUGUUCCCUCAAUGUCUGUGGUGGUUACAGCCUUGUUAUAAAGCAUUAGCUCUGUGUUUGUGCUGAACACAUUUAGCUUGUCAGGGCUUUAUAGCUUUCAUGAUUUUGUGUUUGUCUCUUUAAUUAAAUUAUGAUCAUUGAAUCUAACUGGUGGUGGGCGAGGAGAUACCCCCUGACAAUGUAAAGCGCUUUGAGUGCCUAGAAAAGCGCUAUAUAAAUAUAAGGAAUUAUUAAUUAUUAUUAUCUAACUAACCUAAAUGAAGCUAUACAGAUAAAAUAAUGAUAUUAUUUAGUUAUCUAUUACAUAGAUAACUUUAUAUUUAAAUAUAAAAUACUAAAUAUAUUUUACACUUUGUGUCCUCUUUUGGGGCACAAAUAAAAACAAUUGAAAUUAUUUUAUCAUAAGUACUUUUGUGUCUGUUAUGCAAAUGGGCACAUUCAGUAUGUAUAAGUCAUAUGUAUAUGCAAUUAUAUCCAUAAAUAAAAAACAUUUUUAAUUAUAUUGUAAUAUACAAUAUAUACAACUUAAUAAGUUGAAUUUAUAGUAUAUACAUUUAAUUAUAUUAUUUGUAUUAUUAAUAUAUCUAUCACUGAUCUAAUCAGUCUGUGGGAAUGAACUACAGUGAGCAUUUAUAGUGUGCAUAAAAUGUGUGUGAACAUAAAAGUAACUGUACGUCCAGAGCAAGUAUUUCCUGUAAACUGCUGCUGUGGAAGCAAAAUGAAAUGAAAUGCUGUGCCAGUGAGUACACACAUCUAAUAUAUUACUAAUGAAAUCCACUCAGCACCUGCCACUGCUUCAGAUCUGGCCUUAAAUAUAUAUAUAUAUAUAUAUAUAUAUAUAUAUAUAUAUAUAUAUAUAUAUAUAUAUAUAUAUAUAUAUAUAUAUAUAUAUAAAAUAAAAAAAAAUUAUGUAGUAGAUCCACAAUAACUACAUGAUAUGCAUGUAUUCAUUUACAUUACCGGGGUGUGAGGGGGUGAGGUUUGAAUCAAAAUGUUCACUAGGGUCUGUUAUCUGUGGAUAAAGUUAUUUCCCCCUUGUACUGUAGCCAUUGAUUUAUAUUCAUACAGUGUCCACUAUUACUUAGUUGGAAAGGAAAAUGGCGCUGCUAGAUUUGAAACAAAUGUCUGUUUAAAGCAUUACACAUCAUGAAUGUUGUUUAUUAAUAAAAUUUGCUUAGCUAUUGUAUUGGACUGAACCACUAUCCUCUUUUUAAUGACUUCUUUCUUUUAAGCACAUAAACCCCUUCUGUCCAGGUGCAAAAUAUUUUGGGGUUAUUUCUAUUAAUAAAACGCUGUACAAACA
ensembl:lncRNA